UUAGUGGCGUUUGUUUUCCGUCAAAAGUAAUAAAAGCAUGCCAACCUAUCUUGAAAAUGGGAAACUAAAAAGAUGAUUGCCUUUUGAACGAGGCAAGCCUCACUCACAGACAGAAUGAGUAGUGGUAUUGGUAAUC
rnacentral:sRNA from 12 species